rnacentral:rRNA from 1 species
AAUGAACGCUGGCGGCAGGCUUAACACAUGCAAGUCGAGCGGAGAUGAGGUGCUUGCACCUUAUCUUAGCGGCGGACGGGUGAGUAAUGCUUAGGAAUCUGCCUAUUAGUGGGGGACAACAUUCCGAAAGGAAUGCUAAUACCGCAUACGUCCUACGAGAGAAAGCAGGGGAUCUUCGGACCUUGCGCUAAUAGAUGAGCCUAAGUCGGAUUAGCUAGUUGGUGGGGUAAAGGCCUACCAAGGCGACGAUCUGUAGCGGGUCUGAGAGGAUGAUCCGCCACACUGGGACUGAGACACGGCCCAGACUCCUACGGGAGGCAGCAGUGGGGAAUAUUGGACAAUGGGGGGAACCCUGAUCCAGCCAUGCCGCGUGUGUGAAGAAGGCCUUAUGGUUGUAAAGCACUUUAAGCGAGGAGGAGGCUACUGAGACUAAUACUCUUGGAUAGUGGACGUUACUCGCAGAAUAAGCACCGGCUAACUCUGUGCCAGCAGCCGCCGUAAAAC